UACAGAGGCCACAAGCGUUAGACGGAAUCACUGGGCUUAAAGCGUGUGUAGGCGGGAUGGUAAGUACCUUGUGAAAUCCCACAGCUUAACUGUGGAAAUGCUUGGUAUACUGCCGUUCUUGAGUCACCUAGGGGCAGCUGGAACAGAUGGUGGAGCGGUGAAAUUCGUAGAUAUUCGCAAGAACACCAGUGGCGAAGGCGGCUCACUGGCCCGGUACUGACGCUGAGGUGCGAAAGCGUGGGGAGCAAACAGG
rnacentral:rRNA from 1 species